rnacentral:rRNA from 1 species
AUACGGAGGGGGUUAGCGUUGUUCGGAAUUACUGGGCGUAAAGCGCACGUAGGCGGACUGGAAAGUUGGGGGUGAAAUCCCGGGGCUCAACCUCGGAACUGCCUCCAAAACUUCCAAUCUAGAGAUCGAGAGAGGUGAGUGGAAUUCCAAGUGUAGAGGUGAAAUUCGUAGAUAUUUGGAGGAACACCAGUGGCGAAGGCGGCUCACUGGCUCGAUACUGACGCUGAGGUGCGAAAGCGUGGGGAGCAAACAGGAUUAGAAACCCCAGUAGUCC